GCUCUCAUAGUUAAAUGGAUAGAACAGUCCCCUCCUAAGGGACAGAUGUGGGUCCGAUUCCCACUGGGAGUACCA
rnacentral:tRNA from 1 species